rnacentral:lncRNA from 1 species
AGCAGCUUCUCCAAACCAACUUCCCUCUUUUUCUGUCACACUUUCUUCUUGUCCAGCAGAUUCCUCACUCCACACUAUCAUUGCUCUUGUUUCUUCAAUCAAACUAGCUAGGAGUGGUUGAAGGUUCAGUCGCUCCUUUUCCUAUACCCCUCACAACACCUUGAGAACCCUCACCCUGUUUUUCUUUUUCUCUUUUUAUCUUUAGA